rnacentral:rRNA from 1 species
GACGAACGCUGGCGGCGUGCUUAACACAUGCAAGUCGAACGCUGAAGACCUGGCUUUUGUUGGGUUGGAAGAGUGGCGAACGGGUGAGUAACACGUGAGUAACCUGCCCUCUUCUUUGGGAUAACGCCCGGAAACGGGUGCUAAUACUGGAUAUUCACUGAUCUUCGCAUGGGGGUUGGUGGAAAGGUUUGUUCUGGUGGGGGAUGGGCUCGCGGCCUAUCAGCUUGUUGGUGGGGUGAUGGCCUACCAAGGCUUUGACGGGUAGCCGGCCUGAGAGGGUGACCGGCCACAUUGGGACUGAGAUACGGCCCAGACUCCUACGGGAGGCAGCAGUGGGGAAUAUUGCACAAUGGGCGAAAGCCUGAUGCAGCGACGCCGCGUGAGGGAUGGAGGCCUUCGGGUUGUAAACCUCUUUCGCUCAUGGUCAAGCCGCAACUGUGGGUUGUGGUGAGGGUAGUGGGUAAAGAAGCGCCGGCUAACUACGUG